GAAAGGGAAAGGAUGAGGAAACAUCUUCACUCCAUCCCUGGCUUCCACCAAACAUUCACAUUCUUUCUCUUCCACUUUUUUACUACACUUCAUCUAUGACUCCCUUCUGUCUCAUGUAACCAGAGUUUAUAAAGAUAGUACUGUCUUCUAGGAUGAUUAGCCCCAAUUGCCUAUAUACAUAUCUACAAAGAAAUGUUUGUAUAGGAUUGUGUCUACAUAAAUGCACAUACAUAUAUGUAAAACAUAUACAUAUAAACAGAUUUUCAUUUAUACCUGGAUGCAAAUAUGCAUUCUUAUGUAUUGGAGCUACUUCAGUUGUUUCCUUGCUGUCUUAAUGUAAGUAACUCAGAUAACUUGGACCCAAUUGGGCAUUCAUAGUUCAUGCUUGUAAUACUGGUUAUGCUAUUCAGGAGGUUGAGAUCUGAUUAUCCUGGUUUGAAGCCAGCCCAGGCAGGAAAGUCCCUGAGACUCUCAGGACUGGACUGGAGCCAUGGUUGAGUGCUAGCUGUGAACAUGCAAAUGGAGUGUGCGGUCCUGAGUGGGCAAAUAAUAAUGGUAAUAGUAAUUACCUGGACCCGUCAAUGGCUUUAUGAAAGAAAAUGUGAGCAGCACUGUGGUCUUGUGGUUAAAAGCAGAUGCUUUGGGACUUAGGAUGACCAGGCUUAGCUUUCAUUUCUACUCUUUUGUCCCUGGCAAGUGUCCUGCCCACCUAAAUUCUCUUUAAAUAGUGAUUAAAAACUCAUCAGGUCCAAAUGAGGAAUAAAUAACCAAAUGUAUAGAAAUACUUAGUGCUGUUAAUGAAUAUAGAAACUAUUUGAUAACUGGUAGUUUGUUGGUGGCUGUGAUGGUGAUUUUAAGGAAGUUUUAGAGUUUGGCUCAGUGUUUCUUUAAGAAAAUACUGCAAUAGGGACAUAGUCAUUAAUAUAAUCAAUUUCAGUCUGUAUAUAUUGGUCCCCCUAAAGAUACUUCUUCCAAAUUGUAUUUUGUAUGAGAACUCUCAGAGAAUGAUUAUGUCAUCCCUCUAAAUUGAGCAGCAUUAUCUCAGCACUUCUGGAAGUGUGUUAAUGAGACUUCUCUCUACUUCUCAGUGCCCCAGGGAAAUUUGAUUAAAAGAAUUUGUUUAUCCAUGAAAAA